AAUGGACGCAAGUCUGACCCAGCGAUGCCGCGUGAAGGAUGAAGGCCUUAGGGUUGUAAACUUCUGUCAGCAGGGAAGAUAAUGACGGUACCUGCAGAGGAAGCCCCGGCUAACUCCGUGCCAGCAGCCGCGGUAAUACGGAGGGGGCAAACGUUACUCGGAUUUACUGGGCGUAAAGGGUCCGUAGGCGGUUCUUUAAGUUAGAUGUGAAAGCUUGAAGCUUAACUUCAAAAUUGCAUCUAAAACUGGAGAACUAGGUUCUUGGAGAGGUUGAUGGAAUUACCGGUGUAGCGGUGAAAUGCGUAGAUAUCGGUAGGAACACCAGUGGCGAAAGCGAUCAACUGGCCAAGUAAUGACGCUGAGGGACGAAAGCGUGGGUAGCAAACAGGAUU
rnacentral:rRNA from 1 species